UAAUAACAACCUCGUGUAAGGCGUUUCCUAUUAUAAUUCACUCUCCUUAUCUUUCUGUCUAUCUGUCUGUCUCUCUUUCUCUUGGGUUUGAAUUUUUUUCCUCUUCCUCUUCUUUUUCUUCUUCUCUGUCACCAAACCCUAAUUUCCUCCCAAUUCCGAUCUCAAAAUCUCUCUCCUUAACCUGAUUAUAUUACCCCCCGAAGCUUUCAGAUCUCCCUCCCUGCUAGCCAGGAGGAGCAAAGAUGUCUUUUGUACGGAAUUUCAGUUUGCAAGGAGGCGUUGCCAAUGAUGACUAUUGGUCCUCCUUCACUAGGAACAACUUUAUCAACAACAAUAGGAGCAAGACUAGGAACAAUUAUAACAAUAGGAAUUUUAGCAAUAACAAAGACUACUCGGGGAAAUUUUGGCAGCAAAAUGAAAACUUUCAUCAUAUGAAAACUGGCAAUUCCCAUUAUGUCAACCCUGAUAAUUACACUCAUGUUAAUCCUAACGGCGCAAGUGCACCGUCUUUGAAAAGAAGAAAAUUUUCAGCCUCUACUUGGGGAGGUAGUGGGAGACACUAUGUGCAGUCUAUCGCAUAUGACCAAGCCCCUUUAACCUGUAACAACACUUUCCCUCCUAUUCGAUCUAAUGUGGAGGCCUCUAUGGCUACCGGCUGUAAACGUGAUCGUUCACAUUUAGAAGAUGAAGAACCAGUAUUCUUGUCACGGGAUGAGAUUGAAAGGUGCUCCCCGUCAAGGAAAGAUGGUAUUGAUGCACUUCGUGAAGCACAUUUGCGUUACUCGUAUUGCACCUUCCUUCAAAAUCUUGGAUUGCACCUAGAGUUGCCACAAACCACUAUUGGCACUGCCAUGGUUCUAUGCCACCGUUUUUUUGUUCGGCAAUCACAUGCUUCCCAUGAUAGAUUUUUGAUUGCUACUGCUGCUCUAUUUCUUGCUUCAAAGUCUGAGGAGACCCCACGCCCUUUGAACAAUGUAGUGAGAGCUUCUUGUGAAAUUUUCCAUAAGCAGGAUAUUUCUUUCUUGUCCUAUCUGCUCCCCACUGACUGGUUUGAGCAAUAUCGGGAGCGGGUGAUUGAGGCUGAGCAUGUGAUACUGAGUACUCUAAAUUUUGAGCUUAAUGUGCAGCAUCCAUAUGCUCCUCUUACAUCCAUUCUUAACAAAUUUGGUCUUUCAAAAUCUGUUUUGGUCAGUCUGGCAUUAAACUUGGUCAGUGAAGGGUAAGUUGUCACUUCCAAAAUUGUUACUGUUUUUUCAAUUGGAUGUUGUUACUGGUGCAAUAUGUUUGGGUUAGCUGUUUGUUUCAUUUAGCACACCUAGCUAGCUCAUGUUGUACUUCUCCUGAUGAUGUGCACCUUGAACCUUUUGAGUUAAUUUAUGCCUUAAUUCUGACCAUGUACCUUUCGUUUGUUGUUUGGGCCUGUAUAUUGUAAUAAUUUUGUCUUUGCAAAGUAGUUCAGCUGAAAAUAUAGUAUAGGAAGCAGGAUUUGGACAGUGAUUUUUAGAAGCAGCUCAGCCAAAUUGCAGAUUUGUUGGGUUCUGGAGGUCGUUCUGAGGAGAUGGCUACACUGGGUCUACACAAGAUUAGCGUGCUCGCAUGUAUGAUAUUCUUACCUGGCGGAUUGAUAUGCUGUUCAUGGAAAGUUUUGUUUUACAUCUGAAGUUGAACUGCCAGUGUGGUGUUGAUGACUUCAUCACAAAUACACCCCCAUCAACUUGGUCAUUGGCUAUUAAAGAUAGCCUCAGGACCUCUGACUUAUAAAUUAAAAAAAAUAAUAAUAAUAUAAAGAUAGCCUCAGGACCUGCAAAAUCAGAUUUGCCAUGCUAGAUUGACACUCAAUUGUUUUCCCUCCCAACUGUCUGUGGUAUCCAUGUGAAGCUAGUCCUCUAGAUUUCUUAUGCAAACAUAUGACUUUUGACACAUGGCAACCUAUCCACUCGCCGUCCAUUUACUGACUUGGAGGUGUACCAUUGGCUAGGCAGAUAGUAAUUUCUUUUUCUUUGUUGCCUAUGAUUUUUAUUACUACCUGGUGAGGGGUAUUGUGAGGUAGCUGACAAUACCUGACAACCUGAGGUAUUGUCAGGUGACUCAGGUAGCUUAUUAAAUAAAAGGGGGCAUUGUCAGGUAGCUGGGGAGAUUAUUGGGUUUAGCAGAUGUUUUGCCAAGUUUUUCUGACCACCAAGAUUUGUUAUUAUUUUUUUGAACUACUUUUAUCUGACAAGUUCAACUCAUGUAUUUUUUUUUUAACUUCAAAUACUUAAAUGAUUUUUUCUUAGUAUCCAGGAACUUUGGUUUGAUUUCAGUUUCAACCAAGUGUUAAAUUACAAAUCUUGCCCCAGGAGUUGCUGCUUAAUGUAAAGUGUCACAUCUGACGUAUAGUAAAAGCAUUGUGUGGCUGUGUAGGUCAGACUUUCAUCUUAUUAUCUAAAUUCUCUUUCCCAGUAAAAUAAAAAAAUAAAAACUAUAAAAUGCUUUAGUACCUCUCAUCUUGGAUGGAUAGGUGCUGAAAGAUUAGUCAAUGCUAUAGAUGUGAAAUGCAAAAAUUGGAAGGAGAACAGCAAAGUUUAUUGACAUUAGGUCCAAAUCUAUUAUGUAGCAAGCGUUUCCCCCCAGAGUCUUUCUUAUUUUUCAGUGUUUAUGGCUUGGAUGCAAGUGGUUGGUCAGCAAGUAAUGUCAGCCCAGUUAAAUUGGACCACCUUUUACGGUUGCAGUAAUCUAUUGAUGUUUGACAGGUGCAGCUGGGUCAGUGACUUCUAGAGUAGAUUAGUUAGGACUUAGGAAGUAUAAGUUCUUUUGUACUUGAUCUACUUUGUCUCUGUAAAUUAUAUGUAAAUUAUAUCCAUGAAGUUGUGUUUUAGGUCUGAUGUCUUGAGAUUAAUGGGAAACCAGGGGAGGGUUUAUAUGUUCAGUCUUUACCAACAUAUCUAAAGAAUAGUUUAUAUCCUAGAAGUCAUCAAAUUUAUACACAAUUCUAGUUUCAAUAACUCAGUAAUUGAAGAGUUUCCACCUAGCCAUUUCAAUAUUACCUUAAACAAAUAAUAAUAAUAAUAAUAAAGGGAAAAAGGAAAAAAGAAAAAGAAAAUGGGAGGAAAGUUGGAGAAUGUGGAUGGAAUUUCUCUUCCUGCAUCUCGAGACAAGGUGAGAGAAUUGAAUAUUAUAACAUGUUUAAUAUCUAUAUCUUUUCCUUGUCCUUCUCUUUCUCUUCUUCUCAUUUUGUUGUGUUGUAAAAAAAAAUAACUGUGGCUAAGAGCCUUACGGGUCAGUGGCACUGCCCAAUCUCCCUUAGGGGGAGAAUCUGGGAGUUAUUUUCCCUUCUUUUCUUCACUAAUAUUUUAUUACUUACUAAAACACAAGUAUGUUGAUAGCUGUUGUUGUUGCUUGAGUCCUUGACUAAGUUUUCAUGACCUUCUUGCUUAUACCUCAUCCAUUGAUUAUGAUGAGUCAAUUUUUAAUAAUUUUCACUCUUGCCUUUUUCAAUUAUAUUACAGACCACAUAAACCUUGUGACAUAAGUCCCUCUAAUUAUCCUUACCCACCUUGCUCACUUGGACUUUUGGGGCUGAUCUCAUGUUUAUGAAUUUUGGUACUAGUAUGUAUACCAUUCACACUGGAUACACCCCUCCUCCACUCCCCCCAUCCCAACCCAACAAAUGAGGGUCUUCAUGACCAUGUUCUCUCAACCUUUAUAUUCAUAUAUCAUUGAAGAAUAUUUAAGAAAUAGGGUACAUGAGUCCUUUCAUGUUAUUUGCUACUUUGCCUUUAAAAUAUACUUUCCAAAUUAUUGUGGAACUGUUAUAAUCCUUUUUGACCAUUAUGUCAUAAUCACUUCUGUACAUUUAUUUUUGUUGUUGUCGUCAUUGUCGUCAUCCUCAUCAUCAUUUACUUUUCUAUUACUUCUUUUUAUUCUAAUGCUACAAUUCUUUAUUAGGAAUCUUUUUUCUCUAAAUAACCUUAAUGAACUUUUUAAGUUGUUUAUAUGGAAGUAGGUGGAGAAUAUUUUUUGGGAUAUAUUCAGUAACAUGAUCUAUUGUUGCCUUCCCUUUGAUAUUUUGGAUCCGAAAAUAUGUUUUCCAAAUGUUAUUAUUAUUAUCAUUAGUUUCAUCUAUAAAUUUUUUUUAUUAUUAUCAUUAUUUCUAUCUCUGUUUACUUCGCUAUAACUGUUUCUUUUUCUACAAGUACAUGCUUUAUGGGGAAUCUAUUUUCUAUAAAUAACUUGAUGAACUUUUGAAGUUGUUAAUACUGGGGAAAAAAAUGAAGAAUAUAUUUUGGGAUAUAUUAAGUACAUAACUUUUUGCGUUCUCUUUGAUAUUUUGGAUCCCAAAAUAUGUUUUCCAAAUAUUCUCACCUAAUUUUCUAAUAAUUUCAAUUAUUGACACUACUGUUGUGAUUGUUAUUGUUGUUAUCAUCAUAAUCAUCGUCAUCAUUAUCAUUAUCAUUAUCAUUGUCAUUAUCAUCAUCAUCAUCAUCAUCAUCAUUAUUAUCAUUAGGGUUACUAUUGCCACAAUGGCACAUGCUCAUCUUCUUCCUUUUAAAAGAUUACAAUUUUAAGGUUGAAUGUUAUAAUAUUUACUUAUAUAUAUAUAUAUAUAUAUACACUUUCUCAAAAUGAAAAGCCACAGUUUUAUAUUAUUUCUUAGUGAAUAUAGUUUUAAAAUAAUUUUCUUAUUGGUAAUUAUACAUCGACCUUCACCCUUCAGCUUGCUCUUAUAAGUAGGGUAGUAAAUGAACUGAGCAAUUCAGGAACAACUCAAGUUUGAUUCGAUAAAAUGCUUUUUAUGUAUAUUUGUUUAUAAAUAAGCUGAGUUGGAGCGAAGUUUUGAGGUUUGCUUAAUAAAUAAGCCGAACUUAAAAAAAAAAAAAAAAAAAAAAAAAAAAAAAAAAAAGAAGAAGAAGAAGAAGAAGUUUUGUUAAUGAAUAAGCUCACAAGUAAGGGUUUAAGAAUAAUCAAGUCUUGCUGAGUGUAGGCUCAACUCUAGCUUUUUAAUAAGGCUUGAUAUGGUCUUAACAACUCAGGCUUGAUGCAAUAAAAAGCUUUUUAUGUUUUUUUAUUUAUAAAUAAGCCAAGUUGGAGUGUAGUUUUGAGGUUUGCUUAAUAAACAAGCCAAACUCAAAAUAAAUGUUUUGUUCAUGAAUAAGCUCAUGAGUAAGAGUUUAAGAAUAAACAAAUCUUGCCGGGUGUAAACUCAACUCUGGCAUUUUAACAAGGCUUGAUAUGGCCUUGAGAACCCAAGCACAUGGCUUGGAUCGACUAAUCUACAACCCUAUAAAUAUGUGGAAAUUACUAUUUUCUCAACUUGAUUUUUUUUUUCAUAAAAAUAUGAACAUAGCAUGUUUGCUGGAUUAAGCUUGAGCUUGAUUUGAGCCUGUGCUUGGCUUGAUGGUUUGACUAAUGAGGCAAGUUAAGCUUAAGCUACUUGAAUUUUUAAUGAACUUGAUUUUCAACAUUCUAAGCAAGUUUGAGAUAAGCUCAAAUUGAGCUUGAACAUCAUAUUAAUCUUGUCAAACUGAGUAUAAAUAUUGAAGGACCCUUUUUGGGUCUGCCCCUAGUCAUGUCUAGCUGUUCUUUAUGUAAGUUUCAUUGUAUACAUAGAUGCAUUAGACCUGAUGUAAUUUAUUUUUUUUAUGGACAUUUUAAAAUUUGGUUGCUGAGGUUUCUUUCAUGUUUCCAACAUGGUGAUAUAUAUAUGAAGAGGGAUAAAUACUUGCCCAAGAAAAAAAGUAGUACAAAGAAACCUCACUACUUACAAGUAACAAGUUUGUAUUAAAAGUUGCUGUCAUAACCCACUUGAAUGGAACUUUUGUGAAGGCUGCCUUUUUAAAUAAAUAAAUAAAUAAUUCUCUACUCCUAUGUUACAAAAACUUCUAUAGUUAUGUGCAAAAGCAACUCUAAUCAAGAACCAUGCUGUUGCAUGUAGCACAGCAUGAUUUUCAUUUUUUUUUAAAGGUUAUCAACAAGCCUGGCAAUACUCUAUGCUAUCUAUUGUGGUUACAAAUUACUUUAAGAUGAGAACUAUUUAUAUAUAAAAGAAGAAAAGAAAAGGGAAAAAAAAAAAAAAAAAAACCAAAGAAGUUGCAUAGAAGUUGUGCCUAAUGUUUUGUCUUCACUAUGAUAUAAAUGAUGCUUCUAGCUUUAUCUCCUACCAAGCAAUAUUGCUUCCAAUAGAGGAUCUUGGGCAGUACUCUAUAGUUGGGAUUAUAUGCAUGCUCUAUUAGCAUGAAAGCAUGUGUUUCAACCAGCCUAUUCAGAAGCAGAAGACAUUGGCAUGUGCCUUGAGAGGUUUGAUUGCUAUUGGCAGUUACUUCUUAUUUGCUUUCUCAUUUGAAUUGCAUGUCUCUGGAGUUUAAAGCCCCUGCAGCAGAAUUUUUCCUGGGAGUUUGGUGUGUUAUCUAGAUGAGUGUAACUUGUUUGCUAUAGUUUUGGUACUCUAUCAGCAAUCUGCAGAGAUUCUUGGAAAAUAUUCUACCUGCUGCAUUUUUAGUUGGUAAGGAAAAGAUGACUUGCUCUCUCCACUUGAAACCAAUGGUUAAUAAAUAUCUUAUUUCUUUUGGAUUUUGCUAUUGGUAACUGUUGUACCAUUGUAGCUGACAUAGUUUUUGUCAAUGUGGAAAUGUAUGUUAAGUUGUACGAGGCAAUGAAUGUUCUUUUUUUGUGUUGCCCCAGAUGGUUGGUUUGACUAUUCAUGAAUCUCUCUAUCUGUGCUGAUUAAUGGUGCUGCUUGCUUUUAUAUCCCCUUAUAAAGGUGUUAAAUGUUUUGUUUUGUAGGCUUCGAAGCUCACUGUGGCUUCAAUUUAAACCUCAUCAUAUUGCUGCUGGAGCUGCCUACCUUGCUGCUAAAUUUCUAAAUUUGGACCUUUCUUCUCAUCAAAAUAUAUGGCAGGAGUUCCAAACAACACCAGCAAUUGUUCAAGAUGUAUCACAGCAGUUGAUGGAGCUCUUCUGACUUCUGAGAAGGGCUAGCAGAACAUGACUAUAGUCCAUAGCAAGCUGCAUGAUGAUGGUACUCUCUAGGGUUUGUGGGUAAAUAUGCUUGUGGGUUGGGAGAUGUGAGUUAUGAAAUAAUGAUAACAACAAUCAUAAGUAUAGAAGAUCGAUGGAAUGUCAGAGAGAUGAUCCAUAUGCUAGCAGGACAGGUGGUGGUACUAGACCCAAUUAGAUGGGUUGGACAAGUGGGUGGUCCCUUUCUUUCCCAGGAUCCCUGAAAAAUAUUUUCUUUCUUUUUCCCCUAAUGUUUCAUUGUAAAUUUUAAGGCUGUUUAUUUCCUCCUGUUAUAGUUAAUUAUACAAGACCAAAAAGAGAAAUGGCAAGAGAGUUCCACGUAAA